CUGAUUUCCCCUUUUCUUCAGCAGGAAGAGCUUCAACUGGGAGACAGCUGCUGACAAGGUUUCCACUAGAAGGUUUUUUGUGGAGGAGAAACCCAACCCACUCACUUCAUGAGUAUACAUGGACCUGGAAGACCAGAGGAGUGACACACAAGCCAAGGAGCUUCACAGAUGUGGACACAAUCCACGGCGUCCUGGAUUUCUAACCCCCAGAAUAUCAAGCCAGGAGGCGUUCACAUUCUCUGUUUUCCAAGUAUCCCUGAGGCAUUCUCAAGUGACCCAGACCCAGAGAACGGGUACAGGACAGCAUAGCUUUGCAUGAUACAGCCUUCCGAAAUGCUGUGAACAACUACUAAUUCGUUCCAGAAACACUCUGGUUAUUUGAUCGUUUGUGUGAUUCAUCAGCUUUGAAAGAGCCUCGGGAGUCGCUGCCUGCUCCUCUUACACAGGCCCUGCUUUUCGGUUUUGCUUUCUGUGAAACGGAGUUAAUGGCAUUAGCCACUGAUCUGGCUUAAGAAGAGAAAAUGAGGAGAAAUAGCAGGAGGCUUACCAAGCACUGGCGAGAACACAUUGGAAAAUCUGAGGCAGACCCGGAGGAGGGAUCUCCCUAUGCUACCCAAGUGCCCAUUGCACUGCCUGGGCAUUCUGAGUGCCCACUGCCUACUUGUUGGAUUGAGGAUUUGAGGAGAGAGUCCUCUCAGAACCUCUAGCACGCUAGCUCACGGUGCACAGCAAACCUGGAAGUUGACGUGGAAGUAAAAUUCCAGGCGCGAUGAAGUGAAAAGCGAGUCACUCACCAACAGUUGUCACAGACCUCAGAUGGACUGUGCGACCCGUGGGAACUCCACAGUGAGCUAGCCAACAGUCACCCCUUCUCUCCCACCCAUCUGGGCUUACAGGCAUGUCCUGACAGUGAUGUAUGGUCACUGGAGGGGCACAGUGGGGGACAAGGCAUGGUUAAGCAAUAAAAGUCCAUUUUCCACAGAGAUGCUUGAUAAUGUGAUACAGGAAAUGUCAUGGCGGUUGUGCCGGGGGCUGACAAGCAUGGUCCCGAUGGGUUUUAUUCUGCUACCACAAAGUAGAAGCAAAUAAACACUAUUUUAUGCCACCACUGACCCAUGGAGGCACAUAAAAUGCAUUACUACAGCGUGGUUAGAGCAGGAACAUGGAG
rnacentral:lncRNA from 1 species